AUGGAGAGUUUGAUCCUGGCUCAGGAUGAACGCUAGCGGCAGGCCUAAUACAUGCAAGUCGAACGGUGGCAGCAAUGCCAUAGUGGCGCACGGGUGCGUAACGCGUAACCAACCUGCCCUUGACUGGGGGAUAGCCCGCCGAAAGGCGGAUUAAUACCGCAUAAAACAAGGUGGCGGCAUCGUCUCUUUGUUAAAGAUUUAUUGGUCAAGGAUGGGGUUGCGUAGCAUUAGCUAGUUGGCGGGGUAACGGCCCACCAAGGCGACGAUGCUUAGGGGAGCUGAGAGGCUGGUCCCCCACACGGGCACUGAGAUACGGGCCCGACUCCUACGGGAGGCAGCAGUAGGGAAUAUUGGGCAAUGGGAGCAAUCCUGACCCAGCCAUGCCGCGUGCAGGAUGAAGGCUUUCUGAGUCGUAAACUGCUUUUGCCAGGGAAGAAUAAGGCCCAUGCGUGGGUCGACGACGGUACCUGGUGAAUAAGCACCGGCUAACUCCGUGCCAGCAGCCGCGGUAAUACGGAGGGGGCUAGCGUUGUUCGGAAUUACUGGGCGUAAAGCGUACGUAGGCGGCUUUGUAAGUUAGAGGUGAAAGCCUGGUGCUCAACACCAGAACUGCCUUUAAGACUGCAUCGCUUGAACGUCGGAGAGGUGAGUGGAAUUCCGAGUUUAGAGGUGAAAUUCGUAGAUAUUCGGAAGAACACCAGUGGCGAAGGCGACAUACUGGUCCUUUACUGACGCUGAGGCUCGAAAGCGUGGGGAGCAAACAGGAUUAGAUACCCUGGUAGUCCACGCUGUAAACGAUGAUCACUCGAUGUUGGCGAUAUACUGUCAGCGUCCAAGCGAAAGUGUUAAGUGAUCCACCUGGGGAGUACGAUCGCAAGAUUGAAACUCAAAGGAAUUGACGGGGGCCCGCACAAGUGGUGGAGCAUGUGGUUUAAUUCGAUGAUACGCGAGGAACCUUACCUAGGCUAGAAUGCGCGUGACCGCCUCAGAGAUGAGGCUUUCCUUCGGGACACAAAGCAAGGUGCUGCAUGGCCGUCGUCAGCUCGUGCCGUGAGGUGUUGGGUUAAGUCCCGCAACGAGCGCAACCCCUAUGUUUAGUUGCCAGCGGAUAAUGCCGGGGACUCUAGACAGACUGCCUGCGCAAGCAGUGAGGAAGGCGGGGACGACGUCAGGUCAUCAUGGCCCUUACGCCUAGGGCUACACACGUGCUACAAUGGACGGUACAGCGGGUUGCCAACCAGCGAUGGUGCGCCAAUCCCGAAAAGCCGUUCUCAGUUCGGAUCGGAGUCUGCAACUCGACUCCGUGAAGCUGGAAUCACUAGUAAUCGCGUAUCAGCAAUGACGCGGUGAAUACGUUCCCGGGCCUUGUACACACCGCCCGUCAAGCCAUGAAAGUCUGGUAGACCUGAAGCCGGUGCUCCGCAACGAAGCCGGUUAGGGUAGAACAGGUAAUUAGGGCUAAGUCGUAACAAGGUAGCCGUACCGGAAG
rnacentral:rRNA from 1 species